GGGCACUUUCGGGUGUCAGCGGCGGACGGGUGAGUAACGCGUGGGAACGUGCCCUCUGGUUCGGAAUAACUCAGGGAAACUUGAGCUAAUACCGGAUACGCCCUUUUGGGGAAAGGCUUGCUGCCGGAGGAUCGGCCCGCGUCUGAUUAGCUAGUUGGUGAGGUAACGGCUCACCAAGGCGACGAUCAGUAGCUGGUCUGAGAGGAUGAUCAGCCACACUGGGACUGAGACACGGCCCAGACUCCUACGGGAGGCAGCAGUGGGGAAUAUUGGACAAUGGGCGCAAGCCUGAUCCAGCCAUGCCGCGUGAGUGAUGAAGGCCUUAGGGUUGUAAAGCUCUUUUAUCCGGGACGAUAAUGACGGUACCGGAGGAAUAAGCCCCGGCUAACUUCGUGCCAGCAGCCGCGGUAAUA
rnacentral:rRNA from 1 species